GUUCGCGGGGUCCAUGGGGAAUUCGGUAUCGCUGGUUCAGAUCUCGCAGAGCUCAGAGUCCUGCACGCCUCAGUCCUCGCCUCGCUCCUCCUCGCGGAGGAUUCUGGGAGGUGACGUCGCGGGUCUCGGUCGCGGGGCCCGUUUGCAGAGCCCGCGGCGCCGGGAGGACUUUGUUCUUCUUCAGAAGAGAAAACUGAAAAAGGAGGAAUGGCUGUGGGGCUUUGUAAAGCCAUGUCCCAGGGGUUGGUGACCUUCAGAGAUGUGGCGCUAGACUUUUCCCAAGAAGAGUGGGAAUGGCUGAAGCCAUCUCAGAAGGAUUUAUACAGAGAUGUCAUGUUGGAGAACUACAGGAACUUGGUAUGGCUUGAGUCUUGCUCUUGUCACCCAGGCUGGAGUGCAGUGGUGCGAUCUCGGCUCACUGCAACCUCCGCCUCCUGGGUAGCGAUUCUGCUGCCUCAGCCUCCUUAGUAGCAGGGAUUACAGGCACCUGCCACCACUCCCAGCUAAUUUUUGUACUUUUAGUAGAGAUGGGGUUUCUCCAUGUUGGCCAAGCUGGUCUCGAACUCCUGA
rnacentral:sRNA from 1 species